GCAAAUGAGAAUUCCAAGUUGCAAGAGUUUCUAAUCGAUCGUGGACAAUUAGUUGACGUAUUACAGGGAGAGAUUUCAGUUAUUUGUCAAGACGUGAGGCAUCUAAAGGAGAAGUUUGACUUGGAAGUACCACUAAGCAAAUCUCUUUCCUCUAGUCAAACGAGCUUCAUUCUAGCUUCAUCAGGUUCAUCUCUAAAAACCGCAGCUAGCGAUUUUGCUCAUUUUUGCUCACCCCUAACGGACAUAGCAGCUCAUCUGGAUGCUGAGAAAGGUGCGUCGCCAAAUCUCGGAAAGGAAGGAAGCCAAGCAUCCUCGGUCAGUAGCUCUAGCUUGGCGUCGGACAAGCUUGAAGAAGAAAGAUCAGAAAGAAGCCAUUUCAAAUCAUCAUUUUCAGAUGAUGGGUGGGAUGUAUUUGACAAAGAUGCUGAGUUUGCUGAAGCUCUAUAUAAAGUUUGAGGGAGUUGUUUUCAAGUUGUUAGGUUAGCUCCAUAUGCCUUUCUGCUUCAGUUUUAUGUAAAAUUUGGGUAGUUAGGAGGCCAAAUAAAUUUCAAUCUCUUGUACAUAGAUGGAAUUAAACUUUUCUGGAUGGAGGGUUUAAGUCUUCAGAUUUAUUUUCUGAUAUUGGUUUUGCUUCAGUAUUCAAUUCAAUGGAUUGGAUAUUAUAUGUUCCUUUGAGAUUAUAAAUAUAGUGUUUAUAGAGCAGUUUGGAUUGUUCUGUCC